rfam:TPA: Bos taurus chromosome 7, whole genome shotgun sequence.
UCCUUGGCGGUCCAGUGGCUAAGACUCUGCACUCCCAAUGCAGUAGGCCUGGGUUCUAUCCCUGGUCAGGGAA